UGUUUACACGUUUUGUUCAGACUGCUUUACACCCCAAUCCAGUGGGUGGCGGUAAUGCCCCCAUUAGACCCCUUUCACUGACGUCACCCGAAACCGGAAGUAAACAAACCCUGCGCCACAUUGGAAGACCAACAAACUCGUGAUUUGGGGGAAAUAACGGCAGCGCGCGGUAUGUGAACCCACGAGGCACUUGGUUCAUCAUAAACCUACAAUGGUAAACUUUUGUGCUGUGUUAGGGUUCUAACAAAGCUGAUGGGAAAGGUGAAAAGAAGUCUUUCUACAGAAUACCAGCUGUGUUUGAGACACAAGCAAACCAAGGAGCUUUCUGCCAGGAGACAGAGAGAGGAUUUAGCUGCUUUAUGCAGAGCGGAUCUGAAUACUUCAAGUCUAUUUUGUUACUGGUCUGCGCCGCAGGAGGAAUAGGCCACAAUUAUAAAUAAAUCAUAAAAUGUUUCUAAGAA